rnacentral:lncRNA from 1 species
UUUGCUCGUCGUCUAGGUCACGUGACCGGCGCCGGCAGGGGAAGACCACGAUAGCCAAAUCUAGUCGUUGAAGCCGGCCAAAUCCACCGUAUUCCCAUUUCCCAGUAAUCUCGAAGGUGACCCCUCAGGUGGAGCAUAUUAGUCACACUCCUGGCCUAUUCAUGAGUUUACUAGAGAUCACCCAAAUCUCAUAGACUGUGACCAGCAGUCAAGCUCAUAUAGGUGUGUUCCUCCAAAGAUCGCUCUGUAGGACAGCAUCUUGCUUACAUAUAAGCUUUAGAACACAUUAAGACAGUAGUCAUCCUACCAUACAGUAUCCGAGAGUAUUGCAUCUCCAACGGAGUGGGUUAGUAAAGUUACUCUCCUAAGUUCACCACUGGCUUGUUUUCCCAGGUCCUACUUCAUGGGAUCUCCGAUCAUACAGUUCACCACUGGCUUGUUUUCCGAGGUCCGACUUCACGGGAUCUCCGAUCAUAUAGGUUGGGUUACUUCCAUGGCACAUCAUGUGGGUCUCAUACCCAUCUCCCUCGAUGCACUAUCUAUCACAACACGUGAUAGCCCUUUAGUAAAGGGAUCUGCCAGAUUCUUAGCCGUUUGGAUAUAAUCCAACGCUAUCACUCCGGAGUUUCUCAAACGUCUGACAGACUUCAAUCUCAUUCUUAUAUGUUUGUUGGACUUCAUAUUGUCCUUUGAACUCUUCACUUUAACAAUAACUGUUUGAUUAUCGCAGUUCAUAAGGAUAGCCGGAACCGGCUUCUCAACCACAGGUAAGUCCAUCAAAAGAUCUCAAAGAAAUUCUGCUUCGACACCAGAUGUGUCUAAUCCUGUUAAUUCUGCUUCCAUUGUCGAUCUCGUUAAGAUCGUUUGCUUGCAAGACUUCCAGGAAACAGCACCACCCCCAAGAGUAAACAUAUACCCAGUGGUAGCCUUCAUCUCAUCAGCAUCAGAGAUCCAAUUUGCAUCACUAUACCCUUCAAGUACGGAUGGGAAUCCCGUAUAGUGAAGCCCGUGAUUGACAGUACCAUUCAAGUAGCGCAUAAUUCUUUCAACAGCGUGCCAAUGAACAUCACCCGGGUUUGCAACAAACCGGCUAAGUUUGCUCACAGCAAACGCGAUGCCAGGCCUCGUUGCGCUAGCUUGGUACAUAAGUGAACCGAUAAUUUGAGAGAAUCUCAAUUGAUCUAUAGCUGUGCCUUUAAACUUUCGAAUAAGCACACUAGGAUCAUAUGGUGUUUUACUAAUUUUGCAGUCUGAAUAUCCAAAGCGACUCAAAAUCUUAUCAACAUAGUGGGAUUGCAGAAGUGUAAUCCCACCCUCAUCAUCUCUCAACAGCUUGAUGUUCAAGAUAACAUCAGCCACCCCAAGGUCCUUCAUCUCAAAGUUUUGAGACAGAAAAGACUUAACCUCCUCAAUUACUUUGAGGUUGGUUCCAAAUAUCAGUAUGUCAUCAACAUACAAGCACAAUAUAACUCCUUCGCCCCCACCAUGGCGAUAGUAUACACAUUUGUCAGCUUCAUUAACAACGAAGCCAACAGAUGUCAGAGUUGUAUUAAACUUCUCAUGCCAUUGCUUAGGUGCUUGUCUCAGACCAUAUAAAGAUUUCAGCAACUUACACACCUUUCCUUCCUGACCUUCUAUCACAAAGCCAUCUGGCUGUUGCAUAUAGAUUUCCUCAUUUAACUCUCCAUUCAGGAAAGUCGUCUUAACGUCCAUUUGAUGAACGAGAAGACCAUGAGAGGCCGCCAAUGAGAGUAGUACUCGAAUGGUGGUCAGUCUAGCCACAGGUGAAUAAGUAUCGAAGAAAUCUUCUUCCUCUUUCUGGGCAUAGCCCUUGGCCACAAGCCUAGCCUUGUACUUUUCAAUCGUACCAUCGGGCCUAAGCUUAUUUUUGAACACCCACUUGCAUCCCAAUGGUUUGCAACCAUAGGGACGAUCAGUGAUUUCCCAUGUCCCGUUAGCCAUGAUGGAAUCCAUCUCUCUACGGACCGCAGCUUUCCAGUAAUCAGCAUCUGGAGAAGCAUACGCUUCUGAAAUAGAAGUGGGAUUAUCAUCCACGAGGUAUACGAAGAAAUCAUCACCAAAGGUCUUUGCAGUCCUUUGUCUCUUGCCCCUACCACGGGCUUCCUCGUCAUCCUCCUCAGGAUUUUCAUCAUGUGUUUGUUCAUAGUAUUCCAUAGGAAUGGCAGGCUCAGGAGUUAUCUCAGAUUCCUGUCUAGAAGUGCUUUGCAUAUCUCUCAUGGGAAAUAUAUCCUCAAAGAAUGUAGCAUCCCUCGACUCCAUUAUUGUACCGACCUUCACGUCAGGUACCUCAGAUUUCACUACUAGAAAUCUAUAGCCUACGCUAUUCUUAGUGUAUCCCAAAUUAACGCAGUCCACAGUCUUUGGUCCAAGCUUACGCUUCUUGGGGAUCGGUACAUUGACUUUUGCCAAGCAGCCCCAAGUACGUAAGUACGAGAGCGUCGUCCUUCUCUUCGANNNNNNNNNNNNNNNNNGAGCGUCGUCCUUCUCUUCGACCACUCCUCGUAGGGAGUGACCUCAUUAUCUUUUGUAGGAACUUUAUUCAGGACAUGACACCCGGUCAAUAUAGUCUCCCCCCACCAUGCCUUGGAUAAACCCGAUGUAUCUAACAUGGCGUUAACCAAAUCAGUUAGAGUACGGUUUUUCCGCUCGGCAACCCCGUUUGACUGGGGUGAAUAGGGAGGCGUCCUCUCAUGAAUAAUGCCGUGUUCCGCACAAAAUGAAUCAAAUUCGUUUGAGAAGUACUCUCCACCACGAUCAGACCGGACUCGUUUAAUUUUCUUUUCAAGUUGAUUCUCAACUUCUGCCUUAUAGAUUUUAAAGUAGUGUAGAGCCUCAUCUUUAGUAUUUAACAGAUACACAUAGCAAAAUCUAGUGGAAUCAUCUAUCAAUGUCAUGAAGUAUUUCUUUCCACCUUUAGUCAACACACCAUUCAUCUCACAAAGAUCAGAAUGUAUGAGUUCUAAUGGUGCCAAGUGUCUCUCCUCUGCAGCCUUGUGAGGCUUGCGAGGUUGCUUUGCUUGCACACACGAAUGGCACUUAGAACCUUUGGCUAAAGUGAAAGUUGGGAUUAAAUUCAGUUUUGCUAGCCGCGACAUAACACCGAAACUUAUGUGACAAAGACGUGAAUGCCAAACUUCAGAUUCAUUAACACUCGAAUGAAUAUUGUUCACGACUUUAUUACAAAAAUCUGCAAGAGAAAGGCGGAACAGACCUCCGCAUUCAUAACCUUUUCCAACGAAAAGUCCAUAUUUCGUAACUACUACUUUAUUAGACUCGAAUACCAACUUAAACCCUUCUCUGCACAGAAGGGAGCCACUAACGAGAUUCUUCUUGAUGGCGGGGACAUGCUGCACGUUCUUCAGCUGCAUGAUCCUUCCCGAAGUAAACUUCAGAUCGACCGUGCCAACACCAAGAACAGAAGCACUCGCACCAUUCCCCAUCAAUACGGACCCGCGACCGGUGGCCUGAUAAGAAGAGAACAAUGAUAAGUCAGCACACACAUGAAUAUUUGCACCCGUGUCCACCCACCAAUCGGUGGACUGACAAACUGUAAAUACAGUAAGUAAAUUACCGUACCCAGAUGCACCACUUUCAUUGUUGCCCACAAUCAUGUUGGCAGACUUGGAGUCCUGCGCCGGCUUCUUGUACUUGUUUGGGCAUUUGUUCGCCCAAUGUUCCUCUGAACCACAAGUAUAGCAGCCAUCUCCCUUCUUAUUCUUCUUGAAGGGCUUCUUUCCCUUCUUCUUGAAGUCGGUAUUCUGUGGGACAGAAUUCUUUCCCUUGGGCUUGUGAGAAUUAAAGUUCCUCUGAUGUACCAUAUUGGCAGCAGAAGAGCUUUCCACCGCUUUUCCAUUGGAGUCCUUUGCUCUCGAGUUCUGCUCAACACUCAGAUGGCCGAUGAUGUCCUCUACUGAGAACUCACGCCUCUGAUGUUUCAGAGUAGUAGCAAAGUUCCUCCAGGAAUUAGGGAGCUUAGCAAUUAUACAGCCCACGACAAACUUGCCCGGAAAAUUGCACUUAAGAACCUCAAGUUCCUUAGCUAUGCAUAUUAUCUCAUGAGCUUGUUCCAAUACAGAACGGUUGUCAACCAUCUUGUAAUCGUGGAACUGCUCCAUAACAUACAUCUCACUCCCAGCAUCGGUGGCCCCGAAUUUAGAUUCGAGCGCCUCCCACAAGUCCUUGGCGACAUGCAUAUGUAAAUAUGCAUCAACCAGCUUAUCUCCGAUCACGCUAAUAACUGCUCCAAGGAAUAGGACGGUGGCCUCCUUAAACAUCUUCUCCUGUUCAGGAGUGAUAGUUUCCGUAGGAGUGACACCGGCUACCCAGAACACGUUCAUAGCCGUGAGCCAUAAGGUGGUUCUCGUUUGCCAACGCUUGAAAAAAGUACCGGUAAACUUAUUCGGUUUCAGUGCAGCAGCAAAACCAUUACUCGAAAAAUUCCUACACACAUUAGGUUUUUGGAUUGUUGAGUAAAUAGGCAAUUUUCCGAGUAUAUUAAUCCACGAGAUAAUAACUAGCAUGACAUUGACUAGACUAAUGAUAUACUGAUCUUGAGCUAACCUAGCACAUACUACGCAUAUAGUGGAUACAUCUAUGCAGACAAGUAGUACUGCUAGGAUAAAUACGAACAUGAGGAUAAACGAGUCAUACCCUCCAAUCGGCCAGUUGGCCAUAGCAGCGGCGGCGGCGGCGGCAGUAUCCUCUGCCGCCUUCUUCUAGGCUUCGGCCUUCUCGCGGAGACGGUCAGCUUCGCUUGGUGAAGACAUGGCGAUGACGAGAGCGACGCGGACGUAGACGAAGCAGACGGACGGAGGUGAGCAGUCGCGUGAUCGCUCCCCAAAAACCUAAUCGCCCCUCUCCCGUACAGGAACCGGAGAGGAGAGGUUUCCGAGGCCUGCUCUCCCGUCGACCGUGUACGCGGCAAACGGGACGGAGUCGCCGGCGGUAGCAGCAGUUCAAGGAACGAACGCGUGAGGCAGAUGUGAUCUGAUUCUCGUGACGGCUAGGGUAGGCGACCACGUGCUUAUAAAGGCGGCUGGGUGGAGAGACGUGGGCCGAACCCACGUCCGUUUCGGUAACAGCCACGAUCCGACGUCUCGGAUCGUGCCUUGUCCGUUACGUAUUCUCCGUUCCUGACCGGCAAAAAUAAGCGCGUAGGUAUGAGCUCGGCUCGGCUCAUUCCCGCAACCCGCGGCGCGUCGUGACGAGGCGUGGCGUGGCGAGGCGGGCGGCGGAGGAGCAGUGCGCGAGGGCACCUUCUCUUCUCACUCUCCAAUAGCAUGUGGAAGAGAGACCCUUAUAAAGGGGUCCAAACUCUCCUCCACUAGCGGGGUGGGACUAAACUUCCCACCACCUUGUCAUGCCACCACCUACAUGGGCCCUUGGAGAUUUUUCUGAAAUUCUCUAAUGGGCCUAAAGCCCACUACCAAUUUCAACACGAUCACGCCCCACCUUACCGUCCGCAAGGGAUGUCGUGGUCGCCUCACUCUCCAACAGGCUCACGACCUCUCCUGAUGGAGUACAACUCGUGGUGGAGCUCGGGCUUGGCAGAAAAGGUGACCCCUCGGGUGGAGCAUAUUAGUCACACUCAUGGCCUAUUCAUGAGUUUACUAGAGAUCACCCAAAUCUCAUAUGUGACCAGCAGUCAAGCUCAUAUAGGUGUGUUCCUCCAAAGAUCGCUCUGUAGGACAGCAUCUCGCUUACAUAUAAGCUUUAGAACACAUUAAGACAGUAGUCAUCCUACCAUACAGUAUCCGAGAGUAUUGCAUCUCCAACGGAGUGGGUUAGUAAAGUUACUCUCCUAAGUUCACCACUGGCUUGUUUUCCCAGGUCCUACUUCAUGGGAUCUCCGAUCAUAUAGGUUGGGUUACUGCCAUGGCAACUCAUGUGGGUCUCAUACCCAUCUCCCUCGAUGCACUAUCUAUCACAACACGUGAUAGCCCUUUAGUAAAGGGAUCUGCCAGAUUCUUAGCCGUUUGGAUAUAAUCCAACGCUAUCACUCCAGAGUUUCUCAAACGUCUGACAGACUUCAAUCUCAUUCUUAUAUGUUUGUUGGACUUCAUAUUGUCCUUUGAACUCUUCACUUUAACAAUAACUGUUUGAUUAUCGCAGUUCAUAAGGAUAGCCGGAACCGGCUUCUCAACCACAGGUAAGUCCAUCAAAAGAUCUCGAAGAAAUUCUGCUUCGACACCAUAUGUGUCUAAUCCUGUUAAUUCUGCUUCCAUUGUCAAUCUCGUUAAGAUCGUUUGCUUGCAAGACUUCCAGGAAACAGCACCACCCCCAAGAGUAAACAUAUACCCAGUGGUAGCCUUCAUCUCAUCAGCAUCAGAGAUCCAAUUUGCAUCACUAUACCCUUCAAGUACGGAUGGGAAUCCCGUAUAGUGAAGCCCGUGAUUGACAGUACCAUUCAAGUAGCGCAUAAUUCUUUCAACAGCGUGCCAAUGAACAUCACCCGGGUUUGCAACAAACCGGCUAAGUUUGCUCACAGCAAACGCGAUGCCAGGCCUCGUUGCGCUAGCUUGGUACAUAAGUGAACCGAUAAUUUGAGAGAAUCUCAAUUGAUCUAUAGCUGUGCCUUUAAACUUUCGAAUAAGCACACUAGGAUCAUAACUAGCAUGGCAUUGACUAGACUAAUGAUAUACUGAUCUUGAGCUAACCUAGCACAUACUACGCAUAUAGUGGAUACAUCUAUGCAGAAAAGUAGUACUGCUAGGAUAAAUACGAACAUGAGGAUAAACGAGUCAUACCCUCCAAUCGGCCAGUUGGCCGUAGCAGCAGCGGCGGCAGUAUCCUCUGCCGCCUUCUUCUCGGCUUCGGCCUUCUCGCGGAGACGGUCAGCUUCGCUUGGUGAAGACAUGGCGAUGACGAGGGCGACGCGGACGUAGACAAAGCAGACGGACGGAGGCGAGCAGUCGCGUGAUCGCUCCCCAAAAACCUAAUCGCCCCUCUCCCGUACAGGAACCGGAGAGGCGAGGUUUCGGAGGCCUGCUCUCCCGUCGACCGUGUACGCGGCAAACGGGACGGAGUCGCCGGCGGCAGCAGCAGUUCAAGGAACGAACGCGUGAGGCAGAUGUGAUCUGAUUCUCGUGACGGCUAGGGUAGGCGAUCGCGUGCUUAUAAAGGCGGCUGGGUGGAGAGACGUGGGCCGAACCCACGUCCGAGUCGGUAACAGCCACGAUCUGACGUCUCGGAUCGUGCCUUGUCCGUUACGUAUUCUCCGUUCCUGACCGGCAAAAAUAAGCGCGUAAGUAUGAGCUCGGCUCGCGGCGCAGCGCGUCGUGAUGAGGCAGGUGGCGGAGGAGGAGUGCGCGAGGACACCUUCUCUUCUCACUCUCCAAUAGCAUGUGGAAGAGAGACCCUUAUAAAGGGGUCCAAACUCUCCUCCACUAACGGGGUGGGACUAAACUUCCCACCACCUUGUCAUGCCACCACCUACAUGGGCCCUUGGAGAUUUUUCUGAAAUUCUCUAAUGGCCUAAAGCCCACUACCAAUUUCAACACGAUCACGCCCCACCUUACCGUCCGCAAGGGAUGUCGUGGUCGCCUCACUCUCCAACAGGCUCACGACCUCUCCUGAUGGAGUACAACUCGUGGUGGAGCUCGGGCUUGGCAGACCGUCGGCCCCUUUGCUCGUCGUCUAGGUCACGUGACCGGCGCCGGCAGGGGAAGACCACGAUAGCCAAAUCUAGUCGUUGAAGCCGGCCAAAUCCACCGUAUUCCCAUUUCCCAGUAAUCUCCCUCGACUAUGGUUGGCCUGGUGGUGCAGUAUGACGGCUCAUCCGCGGCGGCCAGGAACAAGACGGCGGCCUGGUGCAGCACGGCGACCUCGUUCGUGGCGACCCGAAGAAACACGGCAGCCUCGUUCGCGACAUCCUAGUUCAGCACGACGGCUGGUCCGCGAUGGCCAGGAAUAGCACGAUGGCCUCGUUCGCAGCGUCCCGUUGCAGCACGAAGGCCUCGUCCGCGGCGACCCGAAGCAGCAUGGUGGUCCCGCUGUCGCGGCCGCCCGGAGCAGCACGACGGCCUUGAAGGCCAGGAUUGGAGGAGAGUGGGUUGCUUGCUUUUCUAUUUAAGGUGAUAGGUGUUUUUUUGGCUAAGUUAACUCCUUGCAAUCCGGCACCACUUGUCAGAUUAAACGGAGUAAAUCACUCGACCAAUGUUUUACUUUUAAAUUACCGAAUACGCGAUGACUUCUGCAGCAAAUCAGUGAAUAGAUGAUUCACUUCUUGUUCGGUACAACCUCCAAACACAAGGACAGCUGAGAUUAAACGAUAC